UCCCGGCUGGCUUAGUUGUUGGAGCAUGUGACUCUUAAUCUCAGGGUUGUGAGUUCAAGGCUCACACUGGGUG
rnacentral:tRNA from 1 species